rnacentral:rRNA from 1 species
ACUCCUACGGGAGGCAGCAGUGGGGAAUAUUGCACAAUGGGCGCAAGCCUGAUGCAGCCAUGCCGCGUGUAUGAAGAAGGCCUUCGGGUUGUAAAGUACUUUCAGCAGUGAGGAAGGCGGGUACGUUAAUAGCGUGCUCGUUUGACGUUAGCUGCAGAAGAAGCACCGGCUAACUCCGUGCCAGCAGCCGCGGUAAUACGGAGGGUGCGAGCGUUAUCCGGAUUUAUUGGGUUUAAAGGGUCCGUAGGCGGGUUAAUAAGUCAGUGGUGAAAUCCCAUCGCUUAACGAUGGAACUGCCAUUGAUACUGUUAGUCUUGAAUGAGGGUGCAGUGGUUGGAAUGUGUAGUGUAGCGGUGAAAUGCAUAGAUAUUACACAGAACACCGAUUGCGAAGGCAGAUCACUAACCCUAAAUUGACGCUGAGGGACGAAAGCGUGGGGGAGCGAACAGGAUUAGAUACCCUGUAGGUGACAAU